UGGGGCGUAGCCAAGCGGUAAGGCAGUGGAUUUUGAUUCCACCAUUCCCAGGUUCGAAUCCUGGCGCCCCAGCCA
rnacentral:tRNA from 1 species